CCUACGGGAGGCAGCAGUGGGGAAUUUUGGACAAUGGGGGAAACCCUGAUCCAGCCAUCCCGCGUGUGCGAUGAAGGCCUUCGGGUUGUAAAGCACUUUUGGCAGGAAAGAAACGUCAUGGGUUAAUACCCCGUGAAACUGACGGUACCUGCAGAAUAAGCACCGGCUAACUACGUGCCAGCAGCCGCGGUAAU
rnacentral:rRNA from 1 species